rnacentral:pre_miRNA from 12 species
AUUUUUUUGAGUCUAUAAGGAACGCCCUCUACUUUAACAUGGAGGCACUUGCUGUGACAUGAUAAAAAUAAGUGCUUCCAUGUUUUAGUGUGGUGGUUCCUUUUUAAUCCUCAGUCAUCCU